GGGAAGGAGGCUCAGUGGUAGAGUGCUUGCCUUGCAUGCAUGAGGCCAUGGGUUCAAUUCUUCAUCACCA
rnacentral:tRNA from 1 species